rnacentral:rRNA from 1 species
UCAGCCGCCGCGGUAAAACCAACACCUCGAGUGGUCAGGAGGUUUAUUGGGCCUAAAGCAUCCGUAGCCGGUUGCGUAAGUUUUCGGUUAAAUCUAUGCGCUUAACGUAUAGGCCGCCGAAAAUACUGUGCAGCUAGGGAGUGGGAGAGGUACACGGUACUCGAUAGGAAGGGGUAAAAUCCUUUGAUCUAUUGAUGACCACCUGUGGCGAAGGCGGUGUACCAGAACACGUUCGACGGUGAGGGAUGAAAGUUGGGGGAGCAAACCGGAUUAGAUACCCGGGUAGUCCCAGCUGUAAAUGAUGCAGACUCGGUGAUGCAUUGGCUUGUGGCCAAUGCAGUGCCGCAGGGAAGCCGUUAAGUCUGCCGCCUGGGAAGUACGUACGCAAGUAUGAAACUUAAAGGAAUUGGCGGGGGAGCACA